AUUUCUCUCCCUACCCAGAUCUCAUCGUUUUUUAUGUUUAGGAAUUUAUAAUUUUCUGCUUCUAAUAUGUUUAUUCUUGUUUGCAACGGACUGUUUUUUUGGGGGAAUUUGGUUUUAUUUUAUUUUAUUUUUUAUUUUUAAAUUGUUUCUGAAUCAUGGGGUUUUAAAGGUUUACGGACUGAAGAUAUGUGUCUUGUCUUUCUGGGUUUUUCAGUGUUUAUUGAUUUAUAGAGUUUGGAUCAGGUUCUAGCUUAAGAUUAUCCAUCAAUUGAUGAGGUUUUCAUGAUUUGCUUUUCAAUUAGAUAUUAAGACUAGUUUAGAUAACUUGCUGAGUUAACUGGGUUCUAAUUUCUAUAAGAUAAAGUGGUAAAAGAAAUUCUAUAUAAUAUAAUAGAGACAUUCUUUCAUCAGCUCAAUUAAUCUCAAGGAAGCCUAUGUUCUUAUCAUUUUAAGUUGAGUGUUGUCCUGGCCAUCUUGCAGCAAAUGUAGGGAAAAAAAAAAAAAAAAAAAAAAAAAAAAAAAAAAAAAAAAGAAAGUACUAAGUACAUGGUUUGGCCCUCCUAUAACCUUGAGGUGUGCUCUGAUCUUAUUUACUGUGAGAAAAUUGAGAAUAGCAGUACAAGCAUAAAAUUGCUCAAGUUUAAUCCCAAACCGAGGUCCUAAAAUCAUUGUAUGCCCCUCUCAACUCACUCUCUCAGUCCCAUAUAUAAAAAUAAGGCUCAAUUUCACUUGUAUAAAUGAUAGUCCCGGACUGCAUAUUUACAAUGUUCCUUUCGGUCUAGCUUCAUCAGAAAGCUUAUAUUAAAGUUAGAAUCCUCCACAAUUUUGUCACAUCCACCUUGAAGAUUACAUGGGAUGAUCACUUCUAGUGCACUUGCAGCUUUGCAUCUUCAUUUUAGAUGUUCAUCACCUGGAUACUUUACCAAUCUUAAAUUGUGCAAAAUAUUGAUCAAAUCCAAGAAGUGCUUGAACUUCUACUGACUUUGUCAACAUAUCAACUGCAUUGUUCUUAGUGUGGAUCUUCAGCAAUUUACCUUACUUUCAUCACAUCAUGAUAAAUUUGAUUUUUCACAUUGUAUGAUACUUUUUUAAGCCUCCUUGCUUUAUUCCCAAUUUAUCGACCAAACUUUUUGACCAAGUUCCGUAUGUAGCUUCCACUGUUGCCAUGUACUUCGCUUCAGUUGUUGAUAAAGCAACUGCUGAUAGAAGCAUAGCUUUCCAACUAAUAAGCCCACCGGCCCGCUUGUCCACAUCACCCGCAUAGUCUGCAUCAACAAAUCUCACAAACUGUUCUAUCGCAUAUUGCCUUUGGAAUAAGAUUCUGGUAUUCAUUGCACCUCUUAAGUACUUGAGGAUAAUGCUUUCACUUAUCAAAAAAAAAAAGUACUUGAGUAUAAUGCUUUUAAUGCUCCUUACGUAGAUUAGCCAUGUGGUUCCUCACAACAUUGAUUGCAUGUCAGGAUGUGACUUGUGAGAGAUUUGGCCAACUAAAAAACAUAGCAUGCAUUUCCUACUGCACUAGUAUGCGGUACACGACAUUUUCUCCACCUCAUUAUCUAUUUACAAACAUGAUCUAGAAGAUGACUAGUUGUAAACAUAUUGGUGAUACCGUGAUAAAACUGGUUUAAGUAUUUUAGGGUCUUCUAGCAUUUCUGUAAUCCUAAAUUGUUCAUGUUAAAAUGCUUCUUCUGCUGUGCAAUUUUCAAGAUCCAAAUUGCCUAUUUAUGAUGCUUCCUUACACCUAGCUUCCCUAGGAAGCAUUUAACUCAUACCAGAGUUGGAUUCUUCCAUAAGCAAUAAAUUAAAAACCAUAACACGGCUGGAAAAAAAAAAAAACAC